rnacentral:rRNA from 1 species
AUGAACAACAUCUUCGUUUUCGUCAUCACUCUCCUGCUCCCCCUAUUCACUCUGGGGUGUCUAAGGCGCAGGACUAACCAAAGCCCGCUGCUGCCGCCAGGGCCUCCCGCUCUCCCCAUCAUCGGCCACCUCUACCUCUUCAGGGGCCCCCUCCAUCGCCGCCUCACACGCCUCGCCACCCUCUACGGCGCCGUCUUCCGCCUGCGGUUUGGCGCCAAGAACGUCGUCGUCGUGUCCUCCGCCCAAGCCGCCGAGGAGUGUCUCGGCGUGCACGACAUCGUGUUUGCCAACCGGCCGCAGCUGCCGACCGGCAAGAUCCUCUCCUACGACUGGAGCACCAUGGGCACCGCGAGCUACGGGGACUACUGGCGCCACAUCCGCCGCAUCGGCGUCACUGAGCUCCUCUCAGCGCACCGGGUGCAGCAGUACGCCGACGUCCACACGCGGAUGGCGAGGUCCAUGGCGCGACGCCUCUACCGCUCGGCGGCCGGUGGUCGCGCGCGGGUUGAGCUCAAGUCGCGGCUCUUCGAGAUGCUCAUGAACGUAAUGACGAGCAUGAUAUGCGCGAGGACAUACUAUGGGACCGAUGGCGAGGAGAUAUUGGAGGUGACAGAUGAGGUCCAGUGGUUUAGGACAAUGGUGGAGGAGACGAUGACACUUAUUGGUGCGUCAACGGUGUGGGACUACAUACCAACACUGGUGCGGUGGCUGGACAUCGGCGGGUUCGGGAGACGGUUGUGGCGGCUCCGAGAGAGUAGAACAAAGUUCGUGCAGGGACUUAGCGAGGAUGAGAGAAAGAAGAUGGAGGAUGGCACGACAACAGGGAGGACGAUGAUUGGGGCACUGUUGUCCCUGCAACACAAGGACCCAGAGGAUUGCCCUGACCAGCUUAUCCGAGCUUUGUGCAUCCUGAGUAUUUCACUUAUAAUUUGA